AGCAGUCGCCGCGGUAAGACAGAGGAUGCAAGCGUUAUCCGGAAUGAUUGGGCGUAAAGCGUCUGUAGGUGGCUUUUCAAGUCCGCCGCCAAAUCCCAGGGCUCAACCCUGGACAGGCGGUGGAAACUACCAAGCUGGAGUACGGUAGGGGCAGAGGGAAUUUCCAGUGGAGCGGUGAAAUGCGUUGAGAUCGAAAAGAACACCAACAGCGAAAGCACUCUGCUGGGACGACACUGACACUAAGAGACGAAAGCUAGGGGAGCAAAUGGGAUUAGAGACCCCCGUAGUCCCUGUCUCUUAUAC
rnacentral:rRNA from 1 species